GAUCACGGGGCAUCUUUCCACGCCCGGGAGCUAUUCCCUGAUCUUAUGGCAGGAAAUCCUCGAGAAGCGACGACGCCGACCCGAUCCUCCCGAGCUUCUGCCUCCGGCGACCGCCCGCGCCUCCGGCCAAGAGCUUCUCCCUCCACCGGCGAUGUCAUCCCUCCCCUCCUGCCAAGAUCCUCUGCCCGGUGAUGGCGACGGCCCAGAGGUCGGUUUCUACUUCCGGCAAGAUCGACUACCCCUCGUGGCUCCCAUCUCCUCAUACGAACAACAACGAGCUAGCGGUCACCUUCCUCGUCCUUCGAGCCAGAUUAGCCCUCUCCUCUUCCUUGUCCACCACUAACAUCUCGUUCUCUCCUCUAUUUGAUGCCUCGGUUAGCACUGAUGAGGUUGCUCCAGAUCCACGGACGUGAGCGUCUGUUCCUCCUUUUCCAGCUAAUCGGAAUCUUGGAACUCUCCCAGCAUUGUCAAAUUAACUGUAAGGAUGGGGUCCAAUGGUCGUACGUUUUGAAGGUGCAUGUGGAGUGAGCAAUGCAGUAGAAGCACCUGAGUGUGGCUCUUUUUAGCUACAGUGAUUUCAACUGGUUCGUGUUCUGUUCUAGUGUUUUUCCUAGUGACCUGAUAGUAGGUAGUUUCUGUACUGGGAUCUGUGUUUCCAAGUUGAACCUUUGCAUCUUAGUCUUUGCAGUAAAUGUGCUACCUUACUGUGGUUGCAUGGGUGGUUUCGGCCAUGGCCGUCUUGUGUGACUCAAUUUUGCUGAUGUAUUAUCGAUUUCAUUUCUAUGAAAUUGGGGGAUUGGUUGCAACUGUGGAGGACGCCAUGAUAUGGAAAUACAUCCUCCCCUGAUAAAUCUAGAAAGCUUCAGUAUACACCAAAAAAGGAGCUACCAGCGGCCCAUUUUUGUCUGAAGACCUCAGUAUUGUAAAGGUAGUUGUAAAAAAAUGGCUAUAUUAUUUCAUAAUGUGUAUGUCCACUAUAUUUGAUCUGUUCAUGUCUAUCUGCAGAUUAUUUUAUUUUGUUCCGAGGCAACCUGUUCCUUUUCUUUUGGUGUAGUACAAGAUGAAGCUAAAAGCUUCAGUGUCAUCUUGCUAGAGCUUCAACCUUAUCUUCUUAGCUAUUGAGAGCUUAUGAGUUUUGAGAGCUGCAGUGUUAUCUUUGAAAGUUCCUUCUGUUUAGCUUUAGAGGAAUUCAACUUUAUCUUGUAGAGAGAUAUGACUAGAUAUUUAUUUUCUGAAAGAAUUGUAUGUUGUCACGGGUUUAUGUACUGUGUCCACCCUGAAUUAAAUACUUUGCAAUAUGGGCAAUGUAUUUUCUUGUUGUUAAUUAAGGUUGAACGCAC
rnacentral:rRNA from 1 species